AGUGAACGCUGGCGGUAGGCCUAACACAUGCGAGUCGAACGGCAGCACAGUAAGAGCUUGCUCUUACGGGUGGCGAGUGGCGGACGAGUGAGGAAUACAUCGGAAUCUACUUUUUCGUGGGGGAUAACGUAGGGAAACUUACGCUAAUACCGCAUACGACCUACGGGUGAAAGCAGGGGAUCUUCGGACCUUGCGCGAUUGAAUGAGCCGAUGUCGGAUUAGCUAGUUGGCGGGGUAAAGGCCCACCAAGGCGACGAUCCGUAGCUGGUCUGAGAGGAUGAUCAGCCACACUGGAACUGAGACACGGUCCAGACUCCUACGGGAGGCAGCAGUGGGGAAUAUUGGACAAUGGGCGCAAGCCUGAUCCAGCCAUACCGCGUGGGUGAAGAAGGCCUUCGGGUUGUAAAGCCCUGUUGUUGGGAAAGAAAAGCAGCAGGUUAAUACCCCGCUGUUCUGACGGUACCCAAAGAAUAAGCACCGGCUAACUUCGUG
rnacentral:rRNA from 1 species